AACAAAGGUCUUCGGGGGAGAAAGAAUAGGGGUGCACAAACCCAAGCCAGGCAAGGAGCGAGAACCAUUGUUUUCAUGGCCCAGUGCUCGCACCUGCAUUUACUCUGGGCAGCUUUUCCUCCCCCCACUGCACAUCUCCCCCGAGUUGGGGGGGUCAGUUCCAGUCUCUGUAAGAAGGGUGUGAGGGGGGUUUCCUUGCACAGGAGUUUCUUACCUUGGUUCCUUGAUGAAGAAGCUUACAUCUCUGCUUGUCUGUCACAAUGGUUGAGGGUGGACGAGAGGGGUCUUCUCUUGGAAGAGGGACCACCCCAAAGCUCAAAGCAGCCAGGCCAGGAGGUGGGGAGAAAGUCCAGGUCCAUUGUUCAGAAAAAGGGCAAGGUGCCCCUUCAAGUUCAGCGUGGCAAACAACACCUGUGGAAACACUGAGCUAAGAGGCACAUGACUCCCCCUCCCACUGGCUCAACAGUUUUUAACUUUUUGGUGGUCUUUUCUUCACGACAAUCAUGAGGCAAAAAUGAAGGAUAUUUCAGACAGACUCUCACACUCCGCAUCAUGCUUUUUACAAAAAUGCAUCAGCUUGGUGCAAAUACACCAAGACGACAACCAAAGCAUUGCUCCAGGUUCCAGCACAAUUGCCACGGGGGAUCUUUUUCAUUUGUAAAGACAGAAUUUGGCCUGGCAUCCCUGCAAAUGUCAAAGGUGGUCCAUGCUGCAUUGGAAGAAUUUCAUUGUUGUCACCUGAUUCAAAAUCAUUGAAAGAGCAAAAACGUAAAGGGAGAAGAUCAUUGGAACAGUAUAGUCCAAAUUGUGAUGGUGAGGUAAACACUUGGGACAAGGCUUGGAGAGUUGCCAUUGCAAUUUUCUCACCUCAGACAGCGUCAGGGAUGGCCUUGACUCAAUUGGACCACAUGGGUUGCUGGUUGAGCAAACAUGCUCGAGCCGUUUCUCUUGCACUGAGUGACAUGUUAAAAGACAUUGACAGUGUAAAACGGGCAACUCUUCAAAAUAGAGCAGCAAUCACUUAUCUGCUGCUGGCACAUGGAUAUGGAUGUGAGGAAUUUGAAGGAAUGUGCUGCAUAAAUCUGACAGAUCACUCAAAGUCAAUUCAUGAAAACAUUAAAAGAUAGAAGACAGUAUAAAAAAGCUUGGGGAGCUCACUGGAUCCUGGUUCGAUGAUGUGGUUGAAUUUUUCGAUCUUUCUCCUUUGUGGAAAGUGCUUUUAGAAAUAGAGUUUUAUAUUUUAGUAGGACUUUUGGUUCUCAUGCUCAUUGUGCCAUGCAUCCUUUUGUGUGUGUGACAGGUCAUGAAUCGAGUCGCCAAAGAGGUGGUUUUGGUGCAAACAGAAGGGGGAGAUGUCAGAACUCAGUACAUCCCUCCCGGUGUCCGAGUUGCCAAGCACCCCACCAGGGAGCUUGGAGACCCUGGCAUGCUGCCCAGAACACCUGGGGAUUUGAUUUUGACCCUUGGAGCAAGUUACCAGCUUUGUAUGAGGACGUGAAAGUCACACAGGUUUGAAUUGAGUAAUGACAAAAUAAUCACAGGAUGAAAAUGUAGAUUUUAGGAUUUUUUGGUAUGGGGGUUAUGGGGACAAGAUGGAGGAAUCAGGGCAUGUCUAGCCUUUCUUCUUGUUCUUUUUGUUCUCCAUUUUCUGCUGUGAUGUUGGCACUUUGGGAUUGAUUUAGAGUAGAAGUGCACUGUCUAAAAUAGGUGAUAGGUAUUGGGAAUUAAGUGUCAAUAUGAUAUACGUAGUUUGUAGUAUAAAAAGACAACACCACCUUGGGAGCGGUCAGAGUGGUCGUGGCUGCCCUGCUGAGCAGACCUCGGCUGGGCAGAAAGAAAAUUUUAUAGAUAAGAAUUAAUAAACAACCUCAAGACCAAAAAGUGAAGAGUCCAGACUCGUUCUUCAGUUGCACAGGCCGAAGCACAGACAUCCUACGCAUCUCGGGGCAGCAAUUAUCAAUCAGCUACGCGAGAAUGAACGAGAUUCCCACUGUCCCUGCCUACUAUCCAGCAAAACCACAGCCAAGGGAAUGGGCUUGGCAGAAUCAGCAGUAUUGGAAACCCAAAUUGCCCUAGAAUUUUGGCAAUAAUUACAAACUGGCCAGAAGGUGAAAAUUUUGGUCUCGCUGACAAAGAAGAAUAAGAACAAGUGACACGGGCUGAAGAAGCUCCACCCUACAAUCAACUGCCAGCAGAAGAAACACGCUGCGUUGUUCUCACUGAUGGUUCAUGUUGCAUCGUAGGCAUGAACAACAACUGGAGAGCAGCCAUACGUGAAUCAUGAUUUUAAAAAUUUAAGAUUUUAGCUGAGGAUUAGAACCAAUUCACAUUGAAGUCAGAUACACCAAAAAUAGGACAAUGAUUAUUAGAUGCCUAAGCUAAAGCUAAUUGUUAUAUUAUGAGCUCAUUUGUAGAAAAAAGUGGAGCAAGUGAACCAUUAGAGGAACAUAUUGAAAGCAGUAGAACAAUGCCCAGCACCUAGACUCUGUGUUAAUCCAUCACAAAGCAGGGGCCUUGGAUUGUGCCAGAGGGUCACAGAGACCUGAUGAAGACCUUCCUGACUUCAUCCCUGGACCACUGGCCCAAUUUGAGACCACCGACCCAAUUCAAGAGAAGAAUUGCACACACGUGAAGGACUAAUAACGUCAUUUUAAUACAACGCGGGGAUGGGAGGUGCUGGGGUUAUGCAUACGUAUUAUUUUGGGAAAUGAACAGAAGGCAAAAAUCCUUGUGUGGUGCAGUCAUGCAUUUUGAGAAUGACUCCCCCGUGCUGCCCACCCACGUUAUAAACAUACAACUUUCUAACUUUAACUAGUUAGAGUCGUUGUCCUUGAUCUUCAGUUUUAAUGAUUCAGUUAGCAAGCCAGCCAGGAGGAGACUCUGCUGGGCUGUGCGACCAGCUCAGGUCAUGGACCCCCUUGGUGCACCCCCAGGAUAUUCCUGGAAGAGUGGGCUCUGCUGCACAGACUGUUCAUCCAGCAGCAGACAAGGACGCCUGACUACUAAAACUCCAGACAAAAUGGCAUUGUAAAAUUCAGGAAUUUAGCGGGACUUUCUGUGAGUAGAAAAUUGAAAAUUUUCUGUUUUGUUUAAACAUUGAAACAGUUUUAAACAGUGACCGGUAAGGCGUGGUCAGGAGAGGCCCUUUGGUAAGUCGUGGGAGAUGUCCCACGUGCAACUUGUGCCUCUGUAGUGUGCUUGCAAGCUGAAGUUGCAGUUGAAAUCUGGUUGCCAGCAGAAAGAGUUGUUGAACUGUUGUACUGAGCUCGGGCUUUUGGUGCUGCCAUUUGUUUUGCCUUAGAGAGCUCAGUUUGCCACCAACUGGGGCUAGCAGUCGUAAGGGCAAAUGCUGGUCUAAGGUUGUUAUAACUGAGUUUGUGUGUGUGGAAAUACCCCUUUCACAGUGAGUUUGUGUGUGUGGAAAGAAAUACCCCUUUCACAGUGAGUUUGUGUGUGUGAACUUUCUAGUUUUGGGGAACAGCAUUCACUGUGACACCUGGUGUUUGAGUAUAACCAUUCUUUCAUAAGGCUUUGUGUUCAGGUGUUAACCAAUCCUUUGCCUGUGGGACCUGGGAGGCGAGGAUCCAACGCUGUAACACAGUGCCUUUGUGAUCCCUCUCCUUGUGGAGUUUGCAAAGUUGCAACUUUGGAUUCAUCUGGUGUAGUGUGAGAUUUUGCUGACUAUUGUGUAAACGUUAUAAUUGUAACAAGCUGGUAAUUUUUGUUGUGUGUCAUCUGUGUUAAGCUAUGUAUUAAGCUUGAGCCUGAGUCAAAAGAGUUAAGCCACCUUUUUAUAGGACUUUAACUUGAACCAGUGUUUGUGGGCUGUCAGAGCUGUAAUAGAGAGAGCUUGUUAUAAGUUGAUUCCCAAGACUUGAGGUACAGGAGAGCUGUGUGGGUUUUUUCCCCUGCAUUGUGGUAAUUUGAUUCUUGGGACUGUAUAGCUCUGUUUGUGAGAUUUUAAGAUUUUGUUUGCAACAAGUGCAGCAUUUUAUGUGGAAAAACUAGUGUGGUGAUUUAUGUGCAUUAAAGCAAAUUAAAAGAAUUCCAGGAAUUCCCCCCCGCCCCCAUUUGUGGUGUUUGUGGGCAUAUCAGAUUUUUUCUGUAACAGGGACAGCCUUUUUAUUUAUUUUAUUUGUGGUUAGACAGAUUAAAGGAAUCCCUUUACCUUGG